GACGAACGCUGGCGGCGUGCUUAACACAUGCAAGUCGAACGGAAAGGCCCUGCUUUUGUGGGGUGCUCGAGUGGCGAACGGGUGAGUAACACGUGAGUAACCUGCCCUUGACUUUGGGAUAACUUCAGGAAACUGGGGCUAAUACCGGAUAGGAGCUCCUGCUGCUUGGUGGGGGUUGGAAAGUUUCGGCGGUUGAGGAUGGACUCGCGGCUUAUCAGCUUGUUGGUGGGGUAGUUGAUUACCAAGGCUUUGACGGGUAGCCGGCCUGAGAGGGUGACAGGCCACAUUGGGACUGAGGUACGGCCCAGACUCCUACGGGAGGCAGCAGUGGAGAAUAUUGCACAAUGGGCGGAAGCCUGAUGCAGCAACGCCGCGUGCGGGAUGACGGCCUUCGGGUUGUAAACCGCUUUCGCCUGUGACGAAGCGUGAGUGACGGUAAUGGGUAAAGAAGCACCGGCUAACUACGUG
rnacentral:rRNA from 1 species